UUGGAGGGCAAGUCUGGUGCCAGCAGCCGCGGUAAUUCCAGCUCCAAUAGCGUAUAUUAAAGUUGUUGCAGUUAAAAACGCUCGUAGUUGAAUUUCGGGAUUAGUACGUCGGUCGUGCCUUAGGUACGUACUGGUGUUACUGGUUCCUACCUUCUGACGAACCAUCAUGUCAUUAAUUUGGUGUGGUGGGGAAUCAGGACUGUUACUUUGAAAAAACUUAGAGUGUUUAAAGCAGGCUCGCGCUUGAAUACAUUAGCAUGGAAUAAUGAAAUAGGACG
rnacentral:rRNA from 1 species